UGCUAGUGAUGAAUAAUUUUAAUACCAUCUUUCGGCUGAUAAUCAUUGAUGAUUAACAUUAACUGAUAGCAAUA